CUUCCGGUUCAUCAAAAGUUUACGAGGAAACGAGCAYCUAGCCUUGCCUCUUCAAUCAACAUUUGUAAGAUACGACUAAAAGACGGCAUAUAACAUUUCCACGGGGAAGCAAUAUGGAUGGCCCCCUCCCUCUCUCUUCUCUGAGACUCCUGGUGCCCCCGCUGCGUCUGAUGUCUGCGGUCAUGUGGCAGGUGGUGGGGCGGCGGAGUUUGGAGCAUUAUGGGAAGCUGGAGGACUUUGUGUGUUUGGUCACAGAGACCGUUCCAGAACUACUGACUGACAGGCAGAGAGCAUUACUGCUUCUGGGCCUCAGAGCAAAGAUGUCCCAGGAGUGGAUAGUYGARGAUGUCGCCCCAGAACUCAUCCAGACUCACCUGGACAGGAUCCAGUCCAUCUGUCUGACAAAGUCCAGUGACRAGGCCUUUGAGGAUGCCAAAGCCAGGCUCAUGGCGUACACCCGGAGGAGUCCAGGAGAUCGAUGGGCUUUUGGUCAAUACUUUAAUGCAGAGCUGGAGUCUCUGGUGUGUGUGUUCCUCUCCAGACUGGAGGAGCUGCUGCCAGUACCAGACUUUAAACAGGCUGCUUCCUGGCUUGACUCUGUCCCCGGUGGUGUGGAUGAAUGUCUGCAGUCUAUCCCCCACAGUGACAGGCUGAGGUCUGUGCUGCAGAGCCAAACGUGCUGCCGGGAACACCUGGUAAAUAGAGACUCCAGCCCAUCCCAGACCAACCUCCUCAGCUCUCUACCUGUUUGUCUUCCAAAUAUGAUGGUGURCCAUCCCUCUGCCGACUCUGACAGUGAKUCAGAACCCUUCCCUGAGGAAAGGAUGGAUGAAGAGAGAGGAGAAGAACAGGAGAARGUCUGCAUCAAACGAGAGGACGAUGAGAAAUCGAAAGUAGCCGAGCUGAUUGGUCAAGACCAGGAAUCAGCCAAUAGAGUGGCAGGAGAAACGGAAACGUCCAACCUAGGGAUUCUGGGUUUCAUUGUUCAGAGCCAAUCUAUAAUGAUUAUCCCCCAGCCGGGCCAGCACUCUCUUGCUGUCGUCUCCCAGUCUGCACCCACUCUCACCCUGCCUGUGGCCUGCAGGGGGCAGACUGCAGUCAACUCUCCCUCAGGACAGAGCAGGCCCUCGCCAGAGAGGAACACUGUUCCUGUGAGCAGCCAAAAGCCCCAGGCCUCACUGGGGAGGUAUGUGUGUGUGUGUGUGUGUGUGUGUUAGGAAUGCAGUAGCGUGACAGUAAGUAUGGACAGAUUGUAUCAGAAUGGGUGUUUUGAGUGGUAAGUGUGUGUGAGUGGUAGUGUGACGAUUGGUGUGGACAGAGUAUGUGUGGUUGUUUAGAGUGUGUGUGUCUAACACCUCACUGAGGAGGAAAUGUUGUCAGCGCGUGUUUGGGAGUGUGUGUGUGGAAUGCAGUAGCGGACAGUAAGUAGGACAGAUUGUAUCUUGUGUGUUUUUGAGUGUACAUAUUUGAACAGUGUCGAAACGUGAACUGUGUGGAGUAUUGGGUAAAUGAUGAAUGAUUAACAUGCAUGUUAUUUCCCACCUCAGCAUCAUCCCUGAGUCGUCUGUAGAAUGUAUUAGGGUGGAGAGUGCACAGACAGCCCCACAGGAGAGUCCUCGUCUUCCGAGACGCUCCCGUCUAGCGUA